UACAGAGGAGCCAAGCGUUGUCCGGAUUGACUGGGCGUAAAGCGCACGCAGGCGGCUGCGCGCGUGGGGUGUGAAAUCUGGCCGCUUAACGGCCAGGCGCCAUCCCAUACGGCGCGUCUGGAGUGAUGCAGAGGUCGGUGGAAUUGCCGGUGUAGUGGUGAAAUGCGUAGAGAUCGGCAGGAACACCCAGGGGGAAACCAGCCGACUGGGCAUCUACUGACGCUGAGGUGCGAGAGCGUGGGGAGCGAACAGG
rnacentral:rRNA from 1 species